rnacentral:rRNA from 1 species
GAUGAACGCUAGCGGCAGGCUUAAUACAUGCAAGUCGUGGGGCAGCAUGAGUAGCAAUACUUGAUGGCGACCGGCAAACGGGUGAGGAACACGUACACAACCUUCCUUCAAGCGGGGAAUAGCCCAGAGAAAUUUGGAUUAAUACCCCAUAAUAUAUUUGAUAAGGCAUCUUAUUAAUAUUAAAGCUUCGGCACUUGAUGAUGGGUGUGCGGCUGAUUAGAUAGUUGGCGGGUAACGGCCCACCAAGUCUACGAUCAGUAGCUGAUGUGAGAGCAUGAUCAGCCACGCGGGCACUGAGACACGGGCCCGACUCCUACGGGAGGCAGCAGUAAGGAAUAUUGGACAAUGGACGAAAGUCUGAUCCAGCCAUGCCGCGUGAAGGAUUAAGGUCCUCUGGAUUGUAAACUUCUUUUAUAUGGGACGAAAAAAGGGCAUUCUGUUCACUUGACGGUACCAUAUGAAU